GGGCCCGUAGCUCAGUGGUAGAGCAGCCGGCUCAUAACCGGUCGGUCGCAGGUUCGAAUCCUGCCGGGCCCA
rnacentral:tRNA from 1 species